rnacentral:rRNA from 1 species
GAUGAACGCUGGCGGCGUGCUUAACACAUGCAAGUCGAACGAUGAAGCCCAGCUUGCUGGGUGGAUUAGUGGCGAACGGGUGAGUAACACGUGAGUAACCUGCCCUUAACUCUGGGAUAAGCCUGGGAAACUGGGUCUAAUACCGGAUAGGAGCGUCCACCGCAUGGUGGGUGUUGGAAAGAUUUAUCGGUUUUGGAUGGACUCGCGGCCUAUCAGCUUGUUGGUGAGGUAAUGGCUCACCAAGGCGACGACGGGUAGCCGGCCUGAGAGGGUGACCGGCCACACUGGGACUGAGACACGGCCCAGACUCCUACGGGAGGCAGCAGUGGGGAAUAUUGCACAAUGGGCGCAAGCCUGAUGCAGCGACGCCGCGUGAGGGAUGACGGCCUUCGGGUUGUAAACCUCUUUCAGUAGGGAAGAAGCAAAAGUGACGGUACCUGCAGAAGAAGCACCGGCUAACUACGUG